rnacentral:tmRNA from 1 species
UCUGACUGCAGACGCCGAAGAGCAAGUUCCAAAUUCUUGACAUACUGCAGAGCAUUCAAACCAUCUUCAGGGUGCUGUAGGAAGCAUAUAAAUAGAUCUACCAGUUGCUGAAAUUCCUCUUUUGUUUCAGCAGAGACUCCAAUCAACUGGCUCAAGUAGACCUGCUUCGAUCCGUGCCAGUCCUAUAAGAACAGAAAACAUGGGGGAUGAAUUUUAUUAUCCUUCUCUGGAAAGCGUGGUCCACACCUUUUGUGUCAUAGAUACUAGGGAACAUAAUAGAGUAAGUGCCUGUUUGUGUAAGCUUCAGGUGCUGUGUAAAAUUUGUCAGACACUGCGCCACAACUUGGAUACAGAGCCAUUUUUGUUGCCCCACUUGAGGGAACUAAUUAUCAGACACCUAACACUAUUGGAGAGGUUGUCCACUACCUCCAAAUUUCAGCGCAUACUCGACUACAUGAAGCUAUCCCUUGAGGCAAAUGAUUCAAACUUGUUACAAGACUUGGCCAUAGGCACUGUCAAUUUACUGGGCUGUCAAAGUCCAGAGAUUUUGUCUAUCCCAUAUGACAAAGAUCAGCCUGUACAUGAAUGGUGUGCAUGUUUCCUGACCUCUGUAGACGAGGAAGCCUUGAGAAAAAUAUCUUCUAUGUUGGACAAUAAACACUUUUCUUAUAUGUACAACUUUAAAACAUUCUUAAAGUAUUCACUAGAGUUAGAAACAGCUGCAGACUUUGAUUUAUCUACUGGACUCAAUGUCCUUGUGUAUUGGGUAAGCGUCUUUAAACUGUUCAGUGUUUGUGUCCAAAGUCAGUUUCUGCUGGACAGCCUUGUGGCAUUUAAUGCCCUUUUUAAAAAUCAUGUAAAAGAGUUAGAAGCGAUUGUGGAAUCUGACACAAACCUGCUCUGCUAUAGCACAUCUGUUGUGUGGGCAAAAUUGUCUAACUUAAACCAUCUGCUCCACAGACUUCAGACUAGUAACAACACUUUAGUUUUUGAUGAAAUACUGAUCUGUCUGCGUGGUUUACAAAUUUAUAUAAAAUGUUUACCUACCUUAUCGGCUGAAGGGGAAUCCGAGUCAGAGGCCAUCGCUGCAGAAAUUCCCUCGUAGUGCAGGAGUUGUAUUUUUGAGUGUAGAUUGAAAAGAGUUGUGCUCUCUCCUCAGCCUUUGAAGGGACAUUUCAUGACUCAUGUAGGAGGAGCUACCAGAUUUCCAUAAAAGUGGGAGGCUAUUAUUUCUUGCAGACUGCAGCACAUUGUGGGAUAAUGUGUUCAAAAAUGGACCUUGAAACCCGUGAAGGUGGUGGUUGCCAGCAGGUUUCAAUUCUCAUGGUCACAUCUGACAGAGAAAAGGAACAGUAUGAGAAAUUUAUGAACAUACUUAAGAAUCUUUCAAAUUGUACUGAUAUAUCUCAGGUCGUGGCAGAUGCUAAAAAAAUCUAUGAUUCCAGGGAAUUUUGUUAUGUGCCUGCCCUUCUCACUCUGUUCAAGAAGUUGCCUUCUGUUCAUAAAUGGCCUGAAAAUGAAAACUGUAAUGAGGUGCUAAGUGCUGCCUUCUUUGUGUGCCAGCUCUUAUUUUUUCAUAACUUCCCAGCCUCACCAGCUUUUACAGUGGAUGAAAUGUUUGCAACAGUGGCUGCUAGAUUGAAGGAUCUGAUAGAAUAUUCAUGUGACUGUGAGAACUGUGAAUUGUUGGCUGAAUCCCUGACAAAUUAUAAGUUUUCCCUGGUACCUAUAAAGAUCAGGCCACACACCGAUACCUGUGUCUCACUGAAAACACUCCAGCGGCUACGGACUGCCAUGUUAGGCAAUCCUGAAACCCUGAGUAUUUGGACCCUUGAUGACCUGGUGGAGGACCCAGUAGUCUUCAAAGGCUAUGAAAGCGCAAUUAGGAGAGAAUUUGCUGAGCAUGUCACAUGUUUGAACAUGUGCUGGGUUGUGAAGAUAAUCUUGGACUGCAUGUCUCAGCCAACAGCUCUGCUUCGGGAUUGUAUUCAGAAGGGUGCAAAGAAUAAUGGACUCCAGCUGGACACUUCGAGUACCUGGACGUGGCCAGCAGCACGUAUUGCUGAAAAGGAAGUCAUAGAACAUACCAUGAGUGUUUGUGUACAGGAUAUGACUAGAAGUCAUGAUCAGGAAUUCUACACAGAGGCCUUUAAGGAAGAUCUCCAUAUAGGAUUAAAGAGACUAGUUGCCAUGGUCCUUGGGCAGAAUCAUAGUUGGUUAGAUGGCUUUCUGACAGACACUAUAGUGACAGGUAAAGCAUAGCCUGGGGCAUAGUUCUUUGAUGAAUCAUCAUAAAUAUGAUGGCUAAUGUGGUCCUUUUGUGUAUUAAUGCAGAUAUGUUUAUGUAUCCAGGUGUGUUGCUUGAAAGGUAUUUUGCUGUACUAACCCAACACCACCUAUUUAUCAUGUUUGGAAGCCUAUUAAAAACUGUGCUAUUGACUCUGGCGUUUGUGUCUUUGUCUACUUGUGACUCAAAAAUUUUACCCAAGCAUUGUUGCCAUAUUUCUGCAACCCCUACUGAGAAAAAAUCCUGGAACUUCCUGUCCUCCAUAACUGAGAUAUAUCUUAGUAGUCCAUCUUCGUGUGGGAAUAUCAAUGUGGCCCAGGUGAAAGUGAAAACCAAGACAGGAUACCACUUAGAAUGUGCAAAUGGUUUUGGACUCAUGGGCUUUCUUGAAGCCGUGGUCAGCAGGUUUAGAGACCCCACCCCCGAUGACGUUGAGUUCCUUAAACAACUUAAAUUGUUGCACGAUCAGUUUGAUGAGGUAUUUUCAGCAAGCACUGCCAACAGCUCCUCCUUUAAGGUCGCCGCCUGGUAACCAUGGACACUUGGCUAAAAACGCAUGUGUGGUCCCUGAAUGUUAUGCAGAGAGACUCAGUAAUGGAUUUUCUACCUCAAUCCUGGAUAGACUACUUACAACUCUCCGCGUUUUCAUCCAAGAAGCUUGAGCAGAUUAUGGCUGCAGUAGAAAACAGAAGAAAACAAAAUAUUGUCUAUCCUGAUAGUGAGGAUGUGAUGCGCUGGGCAUUUUCCUGCCCUCCUGAAAAUGUUAGGGUUGUUAUUCUGGGACAGGAUCCCUAUCAUGGGGGCCAGGCCAAUGGUUUGGCCUUUAGUGUUCAUGAAAACUUUCCAGUCCCACCGAGCUUACACAACAUUUUCCAAGAACUUAAAAGGUCAGUGCCUGAUUUUCAAAUUCCCCCUUCUGGCUGUCUUGAUAAGUGGGCAGAACAGGGAGUUCUUCUGCUUAACUGCAUCCUGACUGUAGAUAAGGGACGGCCUGGUUCUCACCACAAACUUGGAUGGGGAUGGUUCACAGACUAUGUCAUUUCUACAAUCUCUGAAAAGAAUGAUAAGUGUGUUUUUAUGCUGUGGGGAAACAAGGCAAUAGAAAAGGAAGUUCUGAUCAAUGGCAGUAAGCAUCUUGUAUUAAAGGCGCAACAUCCUUCCCCCCUGGCAUCUCUUGGUGGCUACUCAUCAAAACAGGCCCCGUUUUUGGGCUGUAACCACUUUUCAAUUGCCAACACAUAUUUAACGCAGCACAACAAACCCUCAAUUUCUUGGAACUUAUAAUGGACCCCUUUAAGAAACCAGUGAGAAUGUUGCCCAUAAAGGGGGCCCCGAUCUCUCGACCAAUAAGUGUUUUUACAUUUGACGUGUUUAACCCCCCGGACGAUUCCGAUGGGUCAUCAACUCCAGACUCAGUGUUUGAGGCGGAGACCAGCCCAGCAAGAACUCCUCCAACUCCCGCCUUGAUUCUACCCUAUGAUUAUGUGAGCAGUGAAGACUCUGAUGAUGAAGCACAAGAACAUGCGGAUAACCGGGACACUAAUGACCAGGUCAGCGAGUCAAGUACAAGUGAGGACUCUGAUUCAGAGUCUGAAAGUUCAUGUGACGAUACCCAGCAGACUUUCGUGGACGAUGAGUCCACCAGCUCUUCUGGCGAGGAAGACAGAGAUGAUCCUUUUGAGUCAAAUGACCAGGGCGCGCAGGGCGGGUCGACCUCUGAGUCUGAGGAUGACCUCCCUGCAAUACUGAGGGCUGCACGCGAGACACAAAGUGACAGCUCUAGUGACAGUUCCGGCAACUCCCAUAAAAAAAGGCGAGUGCAGGAAGAAGAAAGUAGUCGCAUCUUGAAAACCCCAGCCCCCAUUUCUGGUAAUGGAAAAUAUAACUGGCCAUGGUUGGAUUGAAACUUUAUUCAAUAAAAAUUAAUAUACAAGUA